CCCCCACCCCCUGCAGCACGGAACCCCCCAGGUGCCAGGGACUGAUUUCCAGCCUCACUAAAGCAGCAAUGCAAUACUGGAGAGCAACAGGCGAUCCCCCACUCCAGUAUUUACGUGCUGCUAGAGCACUGCUGACAGCUCUCCAGCCCCGUGCAUCUCCCCCCAGCCUCCAACCCCCACCCAUCCACCCCCCAAAUCAGAGGGAGAUGGGAAAAGGCUGAACAUGGAGCAAUAUUGCUCUGGAGGUGCUGCUCCACCCGGGAUAGACUCAAAUUGCACAGGAGGAGCAGAGAGCCCUUCCUGCACAACCACCCCACAGACAGGUGUACCUGCACAUCCCCGUGCACCUGAGCUAAGGGGUAUGGGGACAUGUCAGCCUCCACCCCUACGGUAACCAGAAGCUCACUUUCUUGUCUUAUCCUUGAGGUAAUGAGGCAGCCCAGAAUGGUCUGUAUCUCCUUGUCCCUACAAACCAUGAUGUGCUGCUACAUCUCCUCAAAGCCCACUGAAUGUUGGCAUUCCAAAUGGUAUUUUGGUUAUUAUUAUUGUUAUUAUUUUUUUUAACUCAUGACAUAAGGCACUGAUGAACACUCUACACGAAGACAUGAACAUGCAUGCAUUACCACCUCGGGACUUUUGUGUUGCUUUGGGUUUUUUCCUUCCCGGUGCUAUCAGCCUGCAACUACAAAGAACAAGCAGUUACACAGUGCAGACAGAAAUACCCCAUUCCCCCACCCCAAACCCACAGUGCUGGGGCAUGGCACAGCUGCACCCCCAGAGCUUGUGAGGGGAAUGAUCCACUGUCUUUCAUUCUACCCUUAGGGGUUGCAGUGCAUCAGCUGUUGGCCAGGAAUCACAGCGCCAGCAGCUGAAUGCACAGCUUGGCAGGACAGAGCUGCCUGCGUGUCCUUAAACUGCUGGAGGGAAAGGGAGAAGGGAGGGAAGGAGGGAAAGAAGCAGGGAGAUCUGUGUUUUUCCUAGAGCUGACAUGAUGCUCAUGUACUUUUGGAAUGAACCAACCAUCUGCAACCAGAAAACAAAGCUCCAUCCCUCCAUCACUCACUGUGCAGGGCAGAGGCUGAGGCUGCAGCACAGAGCGCCCAGACCUGUGCAGACAGCCCAGACUUUUGUGUUUCCUCUCAGUUUUUGUUUUAUGUCAUGUGACAACUUCCUUCAAUUCAUAUUCCCUAAAAGCAGCGUCACAGCAGCACGGGACGACGGCAGCAGCCAGGCCUGUCCCACAGGGAGCUCAGCCCACACCUCUCCCCGUGCUGCUCUGCCCCUUUAGCAAACCAAAGAACAGGAUUUCAAGAGCCCUCCCAGCCCGUGCCAGGUUAUUGGAAACAGCCAAUUAAAUAUCUGC
ensembl:lncRNA